UAUAUUUUAGUGUAUGGUGCACGGAAGUUUUUGAUUCUUCAAGAAAUAGUUUAAUUCUAUUAAGUAUAA
rnacentral:tRNA from 1 species